GACGAACGCUGGCGGUGUGCUUAACACAUGCAAGUCGAACGGUAAGGCCCUUUCGGGGGUACACGAGUGGCGAACGGGUGAGUAACACGUGAGUAACCUGCCCUCAUCUCUGGGAUAACAGUCGGAAACGGUUGCUAAUACUGGAUAUGAGCUUGCAAGGCAUCUUGUGGGUUGGAAAGAUUUUUUUGGUUGGGGAUGGACUCGCGGCCUAUCAGCUUGUUGGUGAGGUAGUGGCUCACCAAGGCUUCGACGGGUAGCCGGCCUGAGAGGGCGACCGGCCACAUUGGGACUGAGAUACGGCCCAAACUCCUACGGGAGGCAGCAGUGGGGAAUAUUGCACAAUGGACGGAAGUCUGAUGCAGCAACGCCGCGUGCGGGAUGACGGCCUUCGGGUUGUAAACCGCUUUCAAUUGUGACGAAGCUUUUUGCGACGGUAGCAGUAGAAGAAGCACCGGCUAACUACGU
rnacentral:rRNA from 1 species